CUCUUUCGGGAGCGCUGAUGUCGUCGGAAAGAUGACCAAACUUGAAUAUUUAGAGGAAGUAAAAGUCGUAACAAGGUUGCUGUAGGUGAACCUGCAGCAGGAUCAUUA
rnacentral:rRNA from 1 species